GGAGUUGUGGCUCAGCGGUAGAGCGCUCGCCUAGCAUGUGUGAGGCCUUGGGUUUAUACCUUAGCUCCA
rnacentral:tRNA from 1 species